CAAUAGCGUAUAUUAAAUUUGUUGCGGCUAAACAGCUCGUAGUUGGAUUUCUGCUGAGGUCGACCGGUCCGCCUUCCGGGUGGGCAUCUGGUUCGGCUUUGGUAGCUUCUUGGCGAACGUAUCUGCACUUGACUGUGUGGUGCGGUGCCCAGGGCGCUUACUGUGAAGGAAUUCUGGUGUUUCAAGCAGGCAGACGCCUUGAAUACAUUAGCAUGGGAGGAUAAGAUGGGACCUCGGUUCUAUUUUGUUGGUUUCUAAAGCUGAGGUAGUGAUUAAUAUGGAUAGUUGGGGGCGAUUCGCCUUUAACCAUCAGAGGUGGGAUUCUUGGAUUUGCUGAAGACUGCCUACCUGCCAAAGCAUUUGCCACGGAUGUGUCCAUUGACUAAGAACGAACGUUAGGGGAGUCAAAGACGAUCAGAUACCGU
rnacentral:rRNA from 1 species